GGCAGCGUGGUCCAGUAGAAAAACACUGAAUUGAGAAUCAGAAGCCUUGGGUUUGAAUCCUGACUUUGCCA
rnacentral:tRNA from 1 species